GAGGGGAGGCCGUGUAAACAUCUCCUGAAAACUGUGCCACUGAGCCACCAGGAAAUCCAGCUUGUUCCAGGAACAGGAUCCGAAACCAGAAGAUUUCCUACUGUAACCCUUGGCAUUCAAUGGGUUAACACCAAGCAGGUUGUAUGGUCAGCUACUAAAUUGAAUGAGCCAUUUCAGAUAUUUUAUGCAUUGGACCAAAGUC